rnacentral:rRNA from 1 species
GACGAACGCUGGCGGCGUGCUUAACACAUGCAGGUCGAACGAGAAUCUACUGAAGGAGGAUUCGUCCAACGGAAGUAGAGGAAAGUGGCGGACGGGUGAGUAACGCGUGAGGAACCUGCCUUGAAGAGGGGGACAACAGUUGGAAACGACUGCUAAUACCGCAUGAUGCAUAAGGGUCGCAUGAUUCUUAUGCCAAAGAUUUAUCGCUUCAAGAUGGCCUCGCGUCUGAUUAGCUAGUUGGCGGGGUAACGGCCCACCAAGGCGACGAUCAGUAGCCGGACUGAGAGGUUGAACGGCCACAUUGGGACUGAGAUACGGCCCAGACUCCUACGGGAGGCAGCAGUGGGGAAUAUUGGGCAAUGGGCGCAAGCCUGACCCAGCAACGCCGCGUGAAGGAAGAAGGCUUUCGGGUUGUAAACUUCUUUUAAGAGGGAAGAGCAGAAGACGGUAC